rnacentral:rRNA from 1 species
AUGGCGGAGAAGGGAGUGAAGGUGUUUGGCAUGUGGGCGAGCCCGAUGGCCAUCCGGGUGGAGUGGGCGCUCCGGCUGAAGGGCGUCGGGUACGAGUACGUCGACGAGGACCUCGCCAGCAAGAGCGACGCGCUGCUCCGCCACAACCCGGUGACCAAGAAGGUGCCGGUGCUGGUCCACGACGGCAAGCCGAUCGCCGAGUCCACCAUCAUCGUCGAGUACAUCGACGAGGCGUGGAAGGACGGCUACCCCAUCAUGCCGGCCGACCCCUACGACCGGGCUCAGGCGAGGUUCUGGGCCAGGUUCGCCGACGACAAGUGCAACGCCGCCAUCUUCCCGGUCUUCACGGCGACCGGCGAGGCGCAGCGCGAGGUGGUGCGCGAGGCCCAGCGGUGCCUGAAGACGCUGGAGAAGGCCCUGGAGGGGAAGAAGUUCUUCGGGGGCGACGCCGUCGGCUACCUCGACGUCGUGGUUGGGUGGUACGCGUAUUGGCUGCCCAUCAUCGAGGAGGUCUCCGGCGCCGACGUGGUCACCGACGAGGAGCUGCCUCUGAUGAAGGCCUGGUUCGGCCGGUUCCUGGCCGUCGACGUGGUGAAGGAGACCCUGCCCCCGAGGGACAAGCUCCUGGCGCUCAACAAGGCUCGCCGUGAGCAGCUCUCGGCGUAG